rnacentral:rRNA from 1 species
UGGGGAAUAUUGGACAAUGGGCGCAAGCCUGAUCCAGCCAUGCCGCGUGGGUGAUGAAGGCCCUAGGGUUGUAAAGCCCUUUCGGCGGGGAAGAUAAUGACGGUACCCGCAGAAGAAGCCCCGGCUAACUUCGUGCCAGCAGCCGCGGUAAUACGAAGGGGGCUAGCGUUGCUCGGAAUUACUGGGCGUAAAGCGCACGUAGGCGGCUUUCUAAGUCGGGGGUGAAAUCCUGGAGCUCAACUCCAGAACUGCCUUCGAUACUGGAGAGCUUGAGUCCGGGAGAGGUGAGUGGAACUGCGAGUGUAGAGGUGAAAUUCGUAGAUAUUCGCAAGAACACCAGUGGCGAAGGCGGCUCACUGGCCCGGUACUGACGCUGAGGUGCGAAAGCGUGGGGAGCAAACAGGAUUAGAUACCCCCGUAGUCC